AGAAGCUACUGCGCAUGCCCAUAGUCAAGUCAGAUUUUUACAGUCUAUGUUCGUCGGACUUCAAGUGCAAAUGCAAUUUUCUCCUGAUGUUUUCCGUUUCACGGAAACAGCAUAGGAGACUGACAAGGAAGAGAAGAGAUUGAAUAAAGGUCUUACGGGUGUGGAACAACAUGAGGUUAGGCUGAAGCACCGCACAAAAGCCACAGAUCUGGGAUGUGUGAAGCAGACAUCACUCGGGUGUAAUGGUCAGGUAAGUGCACAUCAUCAUACAUCUUGAACAAAGAAACAAUACUUUGUACUGUUGAACCACCAAUAAGAAAAAAAUGGUCAUACAUUAUUGUUUUUUUACUCAGUCAUGCAACACAUUUAAUCAAAACAUCAACAGAAUUUUCAUUUUGGUGAACCUCCCCUAUAAAUGCAGGACUGGUUUACUCUGUGAGGAGGUUUUGUUAAUUUAUAUUUUAUUGAUGUUAGGGUGUUAGGCAAGCAGACAGUUCUCGUUUCAGUUCUUCGAGUCUGUCAGCAAAACAGGAAACAUGUCUUAAGUAAGAUCAGAAAAAAUAAAAUAGAGAGAUAGAAAAAUAGUACAUUCCCAGAAAGUGUAAAAUGUAUGAAGAAAGUGUAAAACUCUUGCAGUUCAAAAAGCUUAUGAUACAUCCUUCGCGUUCUCUAUUCAAAUCACGGAAAAAGUGUAACUGACGCAACACCAGUUUACACUUUCCUCGUAACUUGAAUAUGAAAGACUGUCUGGCGGAAGCUAGAUAUUUUACUGCAUGACUUGUUAAAUCUGAAUAUUUUUUUACACAAAUGCAUCACUUCGCUUCAGAAGGCUUUUAUUAA